ACGAACGCUGGCGGCGUGCUUAACACAUGCAAGUCGCACGGAAAGGCCCUGCUUUUGUGGGGUGCUCGAGUGGCGAACGGGUGAGUAACACGUGAGUAACCUGCCCUUGACUUUGGGAUAACUUCAGGAAACUGGGGCUAAUACCGGAUAGGAGCUCCUGCUGCAUGGUGGGGGUUGGAAAGUUUCGGCGGUUGGGGAUGGACUCGCGGCUUAUCAGCUUGUUGGUGGGGUAGUGGCUUACCAAGGCUUUGACGGGUAGCCGGGCUGAGAGGGUGACCGGCCACAUUGGGACUGAGAUACGGCCCAGACUCCUACGGGAGGCAGCAGUGGGGAAUAUUGCACAAUGGGCGGAAGCCUGAUGCAGCAACGCCGCGUGCGGGAUGACGGCCUUCGGGUUGUAAACCGCUUUCGCCUGUGACGAAGCGUGAGUGACGGUAAUGGGUAAAGAAGCACCGGCUAACUACGUG
rnacentral:rRNA from 1 species